ACUGUCCGGCUGUGUAAUGGCGACGACCGCGGUGAGGUGCACAUGUGUAGUGUAGAGAGGGAAAAAGUGUCCAAUUUUAUCACGUUCUGUGUAAAAUAAAGUGGCGGAUGUUUCAACGGCACCCAAACGCCUCCUCAUCAUUUUGUUAUGGUAAAAAUAGCCUGGGCGGCUGGUUACCGGCCUGACAACGAGCCAAGUUCAGACAUUCAAAGGCCAGUGAGCAUCCCAACUACGGUUCGGAGCCGAGAUACUGUCCGAGGCUGAAAGAAAGGCAUCAUAUAAUCGUAUUGGGAUUCAUGUGGGUUAAUACCUGUGGACCGGAGGGUGAGGGUGACAAGCAUCAGUCUCACUUUCCUUUUUUAUUUCAAUUCUACGGAGCCCCCUAGCGGACAUGCAAAAGUCAAUGUACUUCUGGGGCAGUUCGGCAACCUACUGCAGCACUCUGAGGCAGCUUGUAACCCAUGGAAUAGUCGUGGAGGAGGAUUUGGCAAGGUUUCUUCGCUCCAGAGAGGUCCCACAAGAGGACAUCAUGAACAUUCAAAGUGACAAGGUUGACAAGGCAGUGCUAACCAUCAUGACUGAUGAACAAAUGGCAACAUAUAUCACUUCAUAUGGUGACCAAGUACCUGUCCUCUCCUUCUGUCAACAAACAAAGUGCAGCACAGAUAAAGAGACUCUUCUACAGAAAUUAAGAGAUAAAAUAUGAGCACGGGAAAGUAGAUCAAAGACAAAAGGAGCAUUGUGUGGUGCAUCAGGUGUGUUCCAAAAGGAAGGUGAAGGCAUGUCAAGAAAAGGAAAUAAUGCAGCAGAAAAGACUUCCAGGAAGAUUGAAAUUGGAUGGCUUCAUUUUAACAACAAGGAAUACCAACAAGUGAGGACCAGCAAUGGCGGAGGAACAAGACAUGCAACGGUGGAAAAAACAACAACUGUUGCUCAACUUUUGGAAAUGGGAAAGAAGCUAUUUUUCCCAGAUGGCCACUCAACACAAGGGCCAGUUGAAGACUUCACCUUUGAUGUCUGUGAUUUUAAAAGAAACCAGAUCCCUUUAAAUGACACUGUUGGCAGACUUUAUGAACAAAUCAACCUGAAGCUGCUUAAAUUUUACAUAUCCACAAACGAAGAAGCCCACUCAGCAGAUCAAUCCUCAUCUGAGGUAGAAAAACAGUGAAGUUUCCUUAUCUGUAGAUUCAUUAGACAUCACUGAGGGAGCAGACUCACCGUUGACUACACAUGGAUCUGUUGAUGCAGAUGAAUUGAUUACAGAUCUGCCCGAGCUUGGAAAUUCAUCUGACAGCGACAAUAGCGAACAGAAUCUGCAUUUCCAGAUACAACCAAGAUCGAAAAAACAAAGAGCAACCUCUGAGACUGCAGAAGGUCCAAGAAAAUCACAUUGCUCACAUUCAACCCCAACAGACAUGAACACAAUUCACAUUGGCUAGAUGUAGGGCACCAACUGCAUUGAAAUGAUUGAUCUGAACAGUGCAGUUUCUGAUGACUCCCCACAAACAGAGCCUUGGGUAAGGGGGUAGAAAUGCAAAUAUAUGUAUUAAAACCAGUAAACACAGAAAAAAUAGAGAAAUGUAUUGCUACUUCAAUUCAA